GAUUUACAGACAGUGAUUGAACUGCUACAUGAUUUAUUAUUCAGGUGGUGAAGCGUUGCUCUGCAAACUGAAGUUAACAAGUGCAGCUCAAACUAGGCCAAAGACAGCCACUCUCCAGUGAAGUGAGUUUUGUCCUGAGCCUUCUUGUUUUGAGGAUCUGUACUGGGGCCUCGAUCUUCACACCCAUCAGCUCUGAUAUGCUGACAAUCCCCUCAUUAAUUUGAACGGUGCAGCCGGGUUUGAAAGGCGAGAACCCUUCAGCCAUUUCCCUAAUGGUCUGCGAGCCGGCUGACCGGGGCACAGCCGAGCGCUCGCCUUUGCGGCGGCAGCGGUUGUGAUGGCUGGGUUGCAGCUGGGAUGGUGUUAGAGGUCCUUUCAGUGUGAGCUGAGCAGCCAUGAUGGCUAACCACCACACCAGAGGCCUCCUUUGUUUCUCUUUUCCC
rnacentral:lncRNA from 1 species